rnacentral:lncRNA from 1 species
CUGAAACAUCUGGAAACCUUGUCUAUUUUCAGAAGAUGAGAAGAAGGAGAAGAAGACUUAGUUAAGUCCCAGCUGGCCCGUGACAUAGUGCACAGAGGGCCUUGCUGCAGCCUGCCUAGCACAGGCUUUAAGGAAGGUGUACAAAACAUCAUGUUGGCUGGUUACAUGGAACUCUGUGGCAGAAGCACCCUCAGGUAGUUUUCCUGGCUGACUUCAUCUCCUAGACCUGGUGGGACUGAAGGGCUUCCUCUGGGUUCCCAUGCUGCUGCCUCUGUGUGAGCAGCAGCYCUGCUGAUGGAAGCUGUGGACACAUGAGACCUUCAGCCCCCCUCCUUCUUGCCAAGGCAGUCUCUGCCAGUUCAGGUGCUGAGGCAGGCAGUGGACCUGCCCUCUUCUCAUUUCUCUUCUGGCAAGAUGCACGAGGAGCGAAGGAUGAACACCAAAGGCCAGACAGGGACAGUUCCUGAGUGCUGGCGAGAGUGCAGUCAGCUUCGAAAUGAGGUGUGAUGUUUGUAUGGCCGAGACAAAUCCUUUCAUUGCUUGGGAGAAAACUCUGUGAGCUC